rnacentral:rRNA from 1 species
GACAGAGGUGCCGAGCGUUAGGCGGAAUCACUGGGCUUAAAGCGUGUGUAGGCGGACUUCUAAGUACCUUGUGAAAUCCCACGGCUCAACCGUGGAACUGCUUGGUAUACUGGUUUGUCUUGAGCCACUUAGGGGCAGUCGGAACAGACGGUGGAGCGGUGAAAUGCGUAGAUAUCAGGAAGAACACCAACGGCGAAGGCAGCUCGCUGGGACGGUACUGACGCUGAGACGCGAAAGCGUGGGGAGCGAACAGG